GACGAACCGUGCGAACGUUGUUCGGAAUCACUGGGCUUAAAGGGCGCGUAGGCGGGUCAGCAAGUCCGGGGUGAAAACUUUCGGCUCAACCGGAAAAGUGCCUUGGAUACUGCUGGUCUCGAGGGAGGUAGGGGUCUGUGGAACUUCUGGUGGAGCGGUGAAAUGCGCAGAUAUCAGGAGGAGCACCUAUGGCGAAGGCAGCUCGCUGGGACGGUACUGACGCUGAGGCGCGAAAGCGUGGGGAGCAAACAGG
rnacentral:rRNA from 1 species